UACGGAGGGUGCAAGCGUUACUCGGAAUCACUGGGCGUAAAGAGCGUGUAGGCGGGUAUAUAAGUCAGAAGUGAAAUCCUAUAGCUUAACUAUAGAACUGCUUUUGAAACUGUAUACCUAGAAUGUGGGAGAGGUAGAUGGAAUUUCUGGUGUAGGGGUAAAAUCCGUAGAGAUCAGAAGGAAUACCGAUUGCGAAGGCGAUCUACUGGAACAUUAUUGACGCUGAGACGCGAAAGCGUGGGGAGCAAACAGG
rnacentral:rRNA from 1 species